rnacentral:rRNA from 1 species
CCUACGGGGGGCUGCAGUGAGGAAUAUUGGUCAAUGGACGCAAGUCUGAACCAGCCAUGCCGCGUGCAGGAAGACGGUACUAUGAGUUGUAAACUGCUUUUGUACGAGGGCAAACGCAGGUCCGCGUAUCUGGCUGAGGGUAUCUUAAGAAUAAGAAUCGGCUAACUCCGUGCCAGCAGCCGCGGUAAUACGGAGGAUUCAAGCGUUAUCCGGAUUUAUUGGGUUUAAAGGGUGCGUAGGCGGUCUGUUUAGUUAGCGGUGAAAUCCCGAGGCGCAACUUCGGAAUUGCCUCUGAUACGGUCCGGCUAGAGAGUAGUUGAGGUAGGCGGAAUGUAUGGUGUAGCGGUGAAAAGCUUAGAGAUCACACAGAACCCCGAUUGCGAAGGCAGCGUACCAAGCUAAUUCUGACGUUGAGGCACGAAAGCGUGGGGAGCAAACAGGAUUAGAUACCCCAGUAGUC